CGUAAGUACUUUAUACAAAGUUCACCAAUAAUUUUUCAUUUUUGAGCAUCUUCCAACAAUUGCAUCUGAGAAACAGCGACUUUAGACGACUGACGUAAGUAUGGCAUUUAUUGUCAUGUUUUAGUCUUUAUUUACAUUUUCAAAGAAGAAUGUAUUUAUGGCAUAAAUGCUUUGUUUAAUAUAUAUUAAUCUUUCCUUAGGCCUGAAUCCCCGAAUCCAUAAAUCAACUUGGCUGCCAACGGGGGAGGGACGGGGGCACAUACAGGGGUCUUAAAUACCAUCUUUGGACCCCUGCAUAACAUCUUGGUCCCGUUGGCAGCCCUUUGUGUUGGCUUCUUGAUGAACAACAGCAUCUUCCAACAAUUGCAUCUGAGAAACAGCGGCUUUAGACGACUGACGCCUGAAUCCCCGAAUCCAUAAAACAACUUGGCUGCCAACGGGGGAGGGACGGGGGCACAUACAGGGGUCCUAAAUACCAUCUUUGGACCCCUGCAUAACAUCUUGGUCCCGUUGGCAGCCCUUCAUGUUGGCUUCUUGAUGAACAACAGCAUCUUCUGACAAAUGCAUCUGAGAAACAGCGGCUUUAUAACAUCGACGCCUGAAUCCACUAAUCCAUAAAACAACUUGGCUGCUAACGGGGGAGGGACGGGGGCACAUACAGGGGUCCUAAAUACCAUCUUUGGACCCCUGCAUAACAUCUUGGUCCCGUUGGCAGCCCUUCAUGUUGGCUUCUUGAUGAACAACAGCAUCUUCUAACAAAUGCAUCUG